AAGGACAACGGUCUUUUAAAUAAACUUGUUCUACAUGCACAAACAAUUUUACGUUAUUAUAACACAAAUGAUUGCAUAAAUUUAAAAAUAGGAUUAUCUUGAAUUAACCUGAACAAAAUGAUUUCCAUAGACAUGACCAAUACAUAUUAUGCGAUGCAUAAAAGAAUCUAUUGGUGGUUGACUUCUAAGAGGAAAGAACGCCAUGCUUUGUUGAAGGAACAACGAUACAAGGAUUAC
rnacentral:lncRNA from 1 species